rnacentral:rRNA from 1 species
GACGAACGCUGGCGGCGUGCUUAACACAUGCAAGUCGAACGGAAAGGCCCUGCUUUUGUGGGGUGCUCGAGUGGCGAACGGGUGAGUAACACGUGAGUAACCUGCCCUUGACUUUGGGAUAACUUCAGGAAACUGGGGCUAAUACCGGAUAGGAGCUCCUGCCGCAUGGUGGGGGUUGGAAAGUUUCGGCGGUUGGGGAUGGACUCGCGGCUUAUCAGCUUGUUGGUGGGGUAGUGGCUUACCAAGGCUUUGACGGGUAGCCGGCCUGAGAGGGUGACCGGCGACAUGGGGACUGAGAGACGGCCCAGAGUCCGACGGGAGGCAGCAGUGGGGAAUAUUGCACAAUGGGCGGAAGCCUGAUGCAGCAACGCCGCGUGCGGGAUGACGGCCUUCGGGUUGUAAACCGCUUUCGCCUGUGACGAAGCGUGAGUGACGGUAAUGGGUAAAGAAGCACCGGCUAACUACGUG